rnacentral:lncRNA from 1 species
GUCCAGUGCCAUGGGCAGUCCCAAUGCAAUGCUCUGUCCAGUGGCUGAGAUAUGAGACUGGGUCUGCACUGCCCAGCAUGGAAGGAGAAUGGGGCAGCAGGCAGCACCCUAGUGGUCCAGAUAGGUUUGUAAGCUCUCCAGCCUCAUGUACAGGCUAGCUGCAGUCCCAUCUGUGUGACUGAUGCUGACUCUGAACGGCUACUUCCCCACCUCCUGCUCGUCCUUUUCCUGGUUACUCACACUGUCUGCUUGCAGAAGACGAGAUUCUCAAGUUCCUUGGAGGGAUGCCAGAGAAAACCACAAUGGAAAAAACAUCCACAUCUUUGCCAAGGCUGUAGAGAAAAUAAUGAAGAGAAUGAAGAAACCAACAUUGUUUCCAUAAAUCCUGCAUAAACAGACUCCUUGGAGGUGGAAAGAGAAGGUACACCAAAAUGAAAAUGGAUCAGAGAACUUGAACAACGCCUUCAGCCCUUCUACGCUAUCUUUCAAGAGACGCUUAGAUCCUUGGCACAUAAGAAAGGUGUGUUUUUGGUUACAC